rnacentral:lncRNA from 1 species
GGGGUAUAUGGGGCACCCUGGGGCUCUGUAGGGAGUGUGUGUAUCUAUAUCCUGGGUGUACUGGGGGGUACAGAGAGUACAUGGGGUGUCCUGGGGGUACCUGGGGCACCCCGGGACUGUCUAAGGGGUACAAAGGCUGUCCUGGGGGUGCAUAGGGGCUGGUGGUGUCCCCAUUGUGGGGCUGCGGAGGUCCCAGCCUCCCUGCCGUGCCUCCCCAAUGCCAUAUCCUCACAGAGGAGUCCCGGCAGAGCACGGGCAGGGCGGCUGCGUUCCGCACCGUGCUGGUGAGGAUGGGCGGCCUCUUCAUCCUCCUGCUCACCGUGGGCCGAUGGACGGACAUCCUGCACCUCUUGGUGUCUCUGCUGGGGGAGUUCUGGUGCCUGCUGCGCUCCGGGGUCCUGCUGGAGUCCUGCUGGAGGCAGGAUUUUGCCCAGCAGCCUCGUGUGGAUAAUCUGUCGGGAUCCGGAUCCGAGGAAUCGUCCCGAUGAGCCGCAGGGCGGAACCGGACAGAGGAAAUAAACUCAGGGUGGCUUCGCUGGGCACCCCAGAAUCCCCCCAUCACAGAUCCCCCGUGGGGAAUAAGGAAAAAAGGGCUCCUGGAAGGAGUCCGACCCCAUCCCAUGGGAUGGAGGAGGUCGUGGGGAAGGCUCAUGUUGCCCCUGGUUUUUAGGGGGGUUCCAUGAGGUUGCAGCACUGCUGGGGUUUGUUCUCUGGUCCCAGUGGGAUUGCAGGAUGCUGAUGGAUGUCCCAUCAUUGCUGGCAGCUGGGCCACACUGUCAGGGGCCUCCAGGGGAUUAUAAAUCUCAGAAAAUAAAGGUGUUUUUUUUCCAGCAAAAUCCAUGGGCAGAGCAAGCUGGGGUCCCAUUGUGCUGGGAAGGCACUUGGGAUGGUGGGGGUGCAGAUUUUUGAGGGAAGUUGGUAGAAUUCCUCCGUGGGAAGGGAAGCUGAGGCACUGAGUGGGGUGACCCUCUGGCUGUGCCUCAGUUUCCCCCUGGCUGCACAUCACUGUGCAAGGGAACAACAGGCCCUGCGAAGGUGGGGUGCAGUGUGGGGAUGGGGGUUCUGGCUGCCUGGGCAUGGACUCCCAAUGCA